GGCCUCCCAAUUCUUACUACAGGUUGUGUUCUUUACACUGACUGUAUAGAAAGAGGAGGUACAGUAAAUGCACCCCAUAUACAUUUCAACCCAGGCCCUUUGCCUGAUGCGCAUUGUAAAUGAGGGACAAAA